AGCCUGAUGCAGCCAUGCCGCGUGUAUGAAGAAGGCCUUCGGGUUGUAAAGUAAUCAGCAGGAGGAAGGCAGGCGUUAAUAGCGCUUGUUUGACGUUAGCUGCAGAAGAAGCACCGGCUAACUCCGUGCCAGCAGCCGCGGUAAUACGGAGGGUGCGAGCGUUAAUCGGAAUUACUGGGCGUAAAGCGCAUGCAGGUGGUUUGUUAAGUCAGAUGUGAAAGCCCGGGGCUCAACCUCGGAAUUGCAUUUGAAACUGGCAGACUAGAGUACUGUAGAGGGGGGUAGAAUUUCAGGUGUAGCGGUGAAAUGCGUAGAGAUCUGAAGGAAUACCGGUGGCGAAGGCGGCCCCCUGGACAGAUACUGACACUCAGAUGCGAAAGCGUGGGGAGCAAACAGGAUUAGAUACCCUGGUAGUCCACGCCGUAAACGAUGUCUACUUGGAUUGUGGCCUUGAGCCGUGGCUUUCGGAGCUAACGCGUUAAGUAGACCGCCUGGGGA
rnacentral:rRNA from 1 species